CCCUUAGAUGUCCGGGGCUGCACGCGCGCUACACUGAAGGAAUCAGCGUGCUGAAACCAUUGUCGAAAGGCAUUGGUAAACCCAUUAAAAUCCUACGUGAUUGGGAUCGGGAAUUGCAAUUAUUUCCCUUGAACGAGGAAUUCCCAGUAAGUGUGGGUCAUAAGCUCGCGUUGAUUACGUCCCUGCCCUUUGUACACACCGCCCGUCGCUGCCCGGGACUGAGCCGUUUCGAGAAAAGCGGGGACUGCUGCUGUCGGGGCUUUCGGGCCUUGGCUUCGGUGGAAACCGCUUUAAUCGCAGUGGCUUGAACCGGGCAAAAGUCGUAACA
rnacentral:rRNA from 1 species